GGGGGAUUAGCUCAGUUGGGAGAGCACUGCUUUGCAAGCAGGGGGUCGUCGGUUCGAUCCCGUCAUCCUCACC
rnacentral:tRNA from 1 species